GAAAUCGGCAUGAUUCAGGAUUUUAAAGAAACUGUUUUGAGAAAACAUGCAUAACUCCUAGGUUAUAACUCCAAUUUUGAUGAUCUUUAUACCGUUAGAAAGGUCUUUUGAUUAACUAAAAACUUUGUGAACAGUAGGACUUCUAAUUCAAACGUUUUAUGAGUCAAAUUCUAAGCUAAACUUGCUAUACAGUAAGAGUAAUAAAUAUAUUGAGUUUAUCGGUGGACUAAGGGUUUCACUAAUUGUUAUAGGGCCUAGAAGGUAUUGUAGGAGUUAAUUACAGCGGAGUUGAGGUAAGAAAAAAUAAUUAUACUUUAUACUUGCUUUUUAUAUGGUUUGAGUACCUAGUAUGACUGCUUGAAUAAAUUGUAUUGAAACUGUGGAAUGUGAUGGUUUCGGUGAAAUACUGUUUUGUCGAUGGAUUGUAUAUGGCUGUUUAAUUAUGUUCCAGGUACUUGGAAGUGGUUGGAAACCACACAUGUAUGGUGAUGUGGUAAGUGAGGCAGUGUACGUAAGGGUGCACUGGUUAUUGGUACUGCUUUCUGGUUAAGAACGUAAGACACUCCAGAUUUGUAUGGAAGCUGGAGUGUGAAUGUGUGGUAUUUCAGUAUUUGUGUGGUUGCCUCUAUUUAUACUUAUGAUUAGUUUGUUGUAUGUUUGAUGUAUAUGUUUGUGCUAUGAUGUGUGAAUGCUGGUACAUAGUAUUUUGUUUUUCCUUACUGGGCUUUGCAGCUCACCCCUUAUUUACCCCCUAUGUGCAGAUAAGUAAGCCUGUAAGCUUUCGGUGACAAGUUGAGUCUGGGCAACAUGGGGUGUAUCUCGUGUGAUCAUGUAACUGCGUGUGGUCUUGGCCAUCUUCCGCUGAAAGUCUUUUUUUAAAAAAAUUUAUUAAACUUAUCGAGGAUGUUGUCGUUUAAAUUUUCUAUUACUUUUACCUAAGUAGUAAUACUUUAUUUUCAACUGGGUACCCAUGUUUUGAAAAUUGUUAUUUUUUUUUUAAUAAAGGCAACAUUAGUAUCUUAAUGCCAGUUUAUUUAUGGCAUCUUAUUUUACGUAAGUAAGGGCGUUACAAAAAACCAAGUCAGCUUUUACUUUUUCUAUUCAUUCACGCUACCACCUCUUACAUAUUUAAAAGUUCUCUCAUAAAUACACUUAUCUAGAAUCAAGCCACCUCUUCCCUUCUUAUUUAUUCACCCUACCAAACCUAAAUUAUUGUGCUUCUUUUUCGUUAAUUUAGGGCUUACUUCUUCUUUUCCCUUUGCGCUUCUUCUUCUUAAAUCUAAGCUGGCUCACUUCAUCUUCUUAUUGAGGGUGUAGGAUCAUCAAUGUAGGCCAACAACUUUAAGAGGAAGUCGAUUUAAGUCUGAAGAUUACUACAUAAGGUAUUCAAUCCUCCUAAUGUUCAAGAACACAUUGCAGAUUUUACUGGAGUUGUGCCUUGUUUCACGUUUCUGUGCUACGAAGUUAAGAAUGGAGUUACAGUUUAUCAUUUUGUGUUUUAUUGAAAUGCCCUAAUUUAGUCUCUGUAGUUGUUGGAAUAGAUAAUAAAUUUAGUUUGUUAUUGGUGUUUUAUUACUAAGUUCAGAAUAAACUUAUAGUUUAUCAUUUUGUGUUUUAUUGAAAUCCCCCAAUUUAGUUUCUGUAUUUGUUGGAAGUGGAUAAUAAAUUUAGUUUGUUAUUUGUGUUUUACUAAAGACUUCAACUUUUUUCUUUAUUUGUUAUCAUA